CUGCAAGGGAAUUUACAUUAGCUGGCUGGAUACCGGGCUUCUUGGUAUUUGGCGAGAUUUUAGGAAGCUGGCUACCCAAGCAGCGUGUGCCUGCGGGGUUUGGGUGGCGAGAUUUAAAACAGAGCACUAAACAUGUAGAUCUGUCCGGCGAAGGCUUACGGACGCGGGUUCAAUUCCCGCCAGCUCCACCA
rnacentral:tmRNA from 1 species